GACGAACGCUGGCGGCGUGCUUAACACAUGCAAGUCGAACGGAAAGGCCCUGCUUUUACUGUGCUCGCGUGGCGAACGGGCGAGUAACACGCAGGUGAACAGCCUCUUUCUUUGGGUUAAGCCUCGGAAACUGAGUCUAAUACUGGCCAGGAACAUUCUGUAGGCGGAGUGGUGGAUAGUGUAGUUCCGGUAUGGGUUGGGCUCUCGGCCUAUCAGCUUGUUGGUAGGGUAAUGGUCUACUAAGGCGUCGACGGGUAGACGGCCUGAGAGGGUGGUCGGCAACAUUGAGACUGAGAUGCGACGCAGACGCCUGCAGGAGGCAGCAGUGGGGAAUAGUGCACAGGGGGAGCGAGCCGGAUGCAGCGACGGUGCGUGGAUCAUGACGGCCUGCGAGUAGUGAACUCCAAUUGUCUAAGUCGAUGCCCUUGUGUUGACGGUAGUUGUAGAAGAAGCACCGGCUAACUACGUG
rnacentral:rRNA from 1 species